AGAGUUUGAUCCUGGCUCAGGAUGAACGCUAGCGACAGGCUUAACACAUGCAAGUCGAGGGGCAGCGGGGAGUAGCAAUACUUCGCCGGCGACCGGCGCACGGGUGAGUAACACGUGUGCAACCAACCCCGUACCGGGAGAUAACCCGCGGAAACGUGGACUAACAUCCCAUGAUACUCGAGAGCCGCAUGGCUCUAGAUUUAAAAUUCCGGUGGUACGGGACGGGCACGCGCGACAUUAGGUAGUUGGCGGGGUAAGGGCCCACCAAGCCGACGAUGUCUAGGGGUUCUGAGAGGAAGGUCCCCCACACUGGAACUGAGACACGGUCCAGACUCCUACGGGAGGCAGCAGUGAGGAAUAUUGGUCAAUGGGCGAGAGCCUGAACCAGCCAAGUCGCGUGAGGGAAGAAUGGUCUAUGGCCUGUAAACCUCUUUUGCCAGGGAAGAAUAAAAGGUACGUGUACCUUCUUGCCAGUACCUGACGAAUAAGCAUCGGCUAACUCCGUGCCAGCAGCCGCGGUAAUACGGGGGAUGCGAGCGUUAUCCGGAUUUAUUGGGUUUAAAGGGCGCGUAGGCGGGACGUCAAGUCAGCGGUAAAAGACUGCAGCUAAACUGUAGCACGCCGUUGAAACUGGCGCCCUGGAGACGAGACGAGGGAGGCGGAACAAGUGAAGUAGCGGUGAAAUGCAUAGAUAUCACUUGGAACCCCGAUAGCGAAGGCAGCUUCCCAGGCUCGUUCUGACGCUGAUGCGCGAGAGCGUGGGUAGCGAACAGGAUUAGAUACCCUGGUAGUCCACGCCGUAAACGAUGCUCACUGGAUCUUGGCGAUACACAGCCAGGGUUCAAGCGAAAGUAUUAAGUGAGCCACCUGGGGAGUACGUCGGCAACGAUGAAACUCAAAGGAAUUGACGGGGGCCCGCACAAGCGGAGGAACAUGUGGUUUAAUUCGAUGAUACGCGAGGA
rnacentral:rRNA from 1 species